rnacentral:rRNA from 1 species
UACGAAGGGGGCUAGCGUUGUCCGGAUUUAUUGGGCGUAAAGAGCGUGUAGGCGGCCAGGUAGGUCAGCUGUGAAAACUCGAGGCUCAACCUCGAGACGCCGGUUGAAACCAUCUGGCUAGAGUCCGGAAGAGGAGAGUGGAAUUCCUGGUGUAGCGGUGAAAUGCGCAGAUAUCAGGAAGAACACCCGUGGCUAAGGCGGCUCUCUAGUACGGUACUGACGCUGAGACGCGAAAGCGUGGGGAGCGAACAGG